rnacentral:rRNA from 1 species
GACGAACGCUGGCGGCGUGCUUAACACAUGCAAGUCGAACGGAAAGGCCCUGCUUUUGUGGGGGGCUCGAGGGGCGAACGGGUGAGUAACACGUGAGUAACCUGCCCUUGACUUUGGUAUAACUUCAGGAAACGGGGUCUAAUACCGGAUGGGAGCUCCUGCUGCAGGGUGGGGGUGGGAAAGUUUCGGCGGUUGGGGAUGGACUCGCGGCUUAUCAGCUUGUUGGUGGGGUAGUGGCUUACCAAGGCUUUGAGGGGUAGCCGGCCUGAGAGGGUGACCGGCCACAUUGGGACUGAGAUACGGCCCAGACUCCUACGGGAGGCAGCAGUGGGGAAUAUUGCACAAUGGGCGGAAGCCUGAUGCAGCAACGCCGCGUGCGGGAUGACGGCCUUCGGGUUGUAAACCGCUUUCGCCUGUGACGAAGCGUGAGUGACGGUAAUGGGUAAAGAAGCACCGGCUAACUACGUG